UAAAACCUGGAAGACAAGGAGCUCAAAAACCAACCAGCUGUUCUGUCAGUUUACUGUUAAGACUGAUUAUUUGUGGAGGCAUCUAUGCUCAGUUCAACAAAAGGAUGUCAGCUGUGACUACAGACUGGAAUAUGAAGCCAACUCAACUCUGUCUCUGGCUCCUCGUAGUGAUAGAUACAACCUGAGUGACUUUUCCAAAAAGAAUCAAAUGAAAGACGACGUGUGACCACGAUGACCACAGAAAGUUCAGCUGUUAACAUGUCAAGAGAAACCACUCCUACCACCUCUGACAACGAGAUAUCAGACUCGACUGCUUCCACUACUGUAACAAAAGUUACAUCA